GAUGAACGCUGGCGGCGUGCCUAACACAUGCAAGUCGAGCGAACAGACGAGGAGCUUGCUCCUUUGACGUUAGCGGCGGACGGGUGAGUAACACGUGGAUAACCUACCUAUAAUACUGGGAUAACUUCGGGAAACCGGAUCUAAUACCGGAUAAUAUAUCGAACCGGAUGGUUCAAUAGUGAUUGAGGGUUUUGCUGUUACUUAGAGAUGGUUCCGCGUCGGAUUAGCUAGUUGGUAAGGUAACGGCUUACCAAGGCAACGAUGCGUAGCUGACCUGAGAGGAUGAUCAGCCACACUGGAACUGAGACACGGUCCAGACUCCUACGGGAGGCAGCAGUAGGGAAUCUUCCGCAAUGGGCGAAAGCCUGACCGAGCAACGCCGCGUGAGUGAUGAAGGUCUUCGGGUCGUAAAGCUCUGUUAUUGGGGAAGAAAAACUGUGUAAUAAACUCUGCCCGUCUUGACGGUACCUAAUCAAAAAGCCACGGCUAACUUCGUG
rnacentral:rRNA from 1 species